AUUGGUGGUUUCUGGAUCCUUCCUCCAGGAUUUUCAGCACUGGGGAGCUCUCCUUUCUGCAGUGUGGAGGAGCGCUGGGCAGGAGGCAGCGCUGAGGUCAAAGACCAAGGGCAGAGGUCAUCGAGAGGUCAAGUCUAAUCUACCUAUGGAUGUGGCAGCCUUAACUAUGGAUGUUCAAGCCAGACAUUGCCAGCAGAGCCACAUCUCAUCACCCACAGGCAAAAGGAAGAGAGUUUCCAUGCAGGCCGCGGUGAUUGAUCCUGAUUACCAAGAGGAAACUGGACUGCUGCUCCACAAUGGAGGUAAGGAAUA